ACGAACGCUGGCGGCGUGCUUAACACAUGCAAGUCGAACGGAAAGGCCCUGCUUUUGUGGGGUGCUCGAGUGGCGAACGGGGGAGUAACACGUGAGUAACCUGCCCUUGACUUUGGGAUAACUUCAGGAAACUGGGGCUAAUACCGGAUAGGAGCUCCUGCUGCAUGGUGGGGGUUGGAAAGUUUCGGCGGUUGGGGAUGGACUCGCGGCUUAUCAGCUUGUUGGUGGGGUAGUGGCUUACCAAGGCUUUGACGGGUAGCCGGCCUGAGAGGGUGACCGGCCACAUUGGGACUGAGAUACGGCCCAGACUCCUACGGGAGGCAGCAGUGGGGAAUAUUGCACAAUGGGCGGAAGCCUGAUGCAGCAACGCCGCGUGCGGGAUGACGGCCUUCGGGUUGUAAACCGCUUUCGCCUGUGACGAAGCGUGAGUGACGGUAAUGGGUAAAGAAGCACCGGCUAACUACGUG
rnacentral:rRNA from 1 species